ACGAACGCUGGCGGCGUGCUUCACACAUGCAAGUCGAACGGUGAAGCGCCUUCCUUUUUGGUGGGUGUGGAUGAGUGGCGAACGGGUGAGUAACACGUGAGUAACCUGCCCCCUUCUUCUGGAUAACCGCAUGAAAGUGUGGCUAAUACGGGAUAUUCUGGGUCUGUCGCAUGAUGGGUCUGGGAAAGAUAUUGUUUCGGUGGGGGAUGGGCUCGCGGCCUAUCAGCUUGUUGGUGGGGUGAUGGCCUACCAAGGCGGUGACGGGUAGCCGGCCUGAGAGGGUGGACGGUCACACUGGGACUGAGACACGGGCCAGACUGCUACGGGAGGCAGCAGUGGGGAAUAUUGCACAAUGGGCGCAAGCCUGAUGCAGCGACGCCGCGUGAGGGAUGGAGGCCUUCGGGUUGUGAACCUCUUUCGCCAGUGAAGCAGGCCUGCCUCGUUUGUGGGUGGGUUGACGGUAGCUGGAUAAGAAGCGCCGGCUAACUACGUG
rnacentral:rRNA from 1 species